rnacentral:siRNA from 1 species
AUCCUAUGAACACAGCCCGAGCCA